GUCAGGAUGGCCGAGUGGUUAAGGCAUUGUACUUUGAAUCCAAUGAGGUUUCCUCGAGCAGGUUUGAACCCUGCUCCUCACG
rnacentral:tRNA from 1 species